rnacentral:rRNA from 1 species
GACGAACGCUGGCGGCGUGCCUAAUACAUGCAAGUUGAGCGCUGAAGGUUGGUACUUGUACCGACUGGAUGAGCAGCGAACGGGUGAGUAACGCGUGGGGAAUCUGCCUUUGAGCGGGGGACAACAUUUGGAAACGAAUGCUAAUACCGCAUAAAAACUUUAAACACAAGUUUUAAGUUUGAAAGAUGCAAUUGCAUCACUCAAAGAUGAUCCCGCGUUGUAUUAGCUAGUUGGUGAGGUAAAGGCCCACCAAGGCGAUGAUACAUAGCCGACCUGAGAGGGUGAUCGGCCACAUUGGGACUGAGACACGGCCCAAACUCCUACGGGAGGCAGCAGUAGGGAAUCUUCGGCAAUGGACGAAAGUCUGACCGAGCAACGCCGCGUGAGUGAAGAAGGUUUUCGGAUCGUAAAACUCCGUUGGUAGAGAAGAACGUUGGUGAGAGUGGAAAGCUCAUCAAGUGACGGUAACUACCCAGAAAGGGACGGCUAACUACGUG